rnacentral:rRNA from 1 species
UGCUUAUAGAAUUAAUUUUAAGUAAAACCUGCUCAAUGGUAUACAACUCAAUAGCCGCAGUUAACCUGUGCUAAGGUAGCAUAAUCACUUGCUUUCUAAAUAAAAGAUAGAAUGAAAGGUUAAACGAUAAAAAACUAUUUCAUACUUUUUAACUAAAUUGGUUUUGACGUUAAAAAACUUCAAUUAAUUAAUAAGACGACAAGACCCUAACAAACUUAUUAAUUUAGUUGGGGCAACAAUAUAAUAAAAUUUUAUAAUUAAUUAUAAAUUCAACUUAUCAAAUUAAUAAAAACCUAGUUACUGAAGGGAUAACAGCGCAAUCUCUUUUAAGAGUUCAUAUCUAAAAAGAAGUUUACGACCUCGAUGUUGAAUUAAUUUAUCUAUAUAAACGCAAAAGUUUUACUAAGACAGUCUGUUCGACUAUUAAUAAAUU